UGUGUAGGCGGUUUUCCAAGUUUGGUGUGAAAUCUCCCGGCUCAACUGGGAGGGUGCGCCGAAAACUGGGAGACUAGAGUGCGGGAGGGGAGAGUGGAAUUCCUGGUGUAGCGGUGAAAUGCGUAGAUAUCAGGAGGAACACCGGUGGUGUAGACGGCUCUCUGGACCGUAACUGACGCUGAGACACGAAAGCGUGGGUAGCAAACAGGAUUAGAUACCCUGGUAGUCCACGCCCUAAACGAUGCAUAUUUGGUGUAGGUCAUUCAGUUGAUCUGUGCCGGAGCUAACGCGUUAAAUAUGCCGCCUGGGGAGUACAGUCGCAAGGCUGAA
rnacentral:rRNA from 1 species